GGAAGGGCAGGCGCUGUCGGGAGCGUCUCGCCGGCUUCUCUCCGUCUAGGGGAGCCCGUCUGUGGGAAGUUGAUCGGGUUUCUUUUUGGCCGCUGUCUUCGGAGCCGGAGGGAGAGGCUUGGCCGCGAAGGGCGUUUGCGGGAAGCCGGGGGCAGAGGAUGCCGUUCUGCUGAUCCGGGGCUGGAAGCGGCGGGCCGUAAAAAAGGAAGGAGCGAAGGUUGGAAAGGAAAGAAGAGAAGCGCCGGGAGCAACCUGCCAAAAUGUCUAGCAAAAAAGAAAAUGCACACAAGAAAUGGAGUGUCUUGAAAGAAAGGCUGGGGUCCCAGGAUUCGGAUCAAACCGAAGCCAACCUGGAAAAUGCAGAGCCAGAACUCUGCAUUCGCCUGUUACAGAUCCCUUCAGUGGUGAAUUACUCAGGGCUCAAGAAGCGGCUGGAAAGUAGUGAUGAUAGCUGGAUGGUCCAGUUUUUGGAACUCUGUGGACUGGAUCUUCUGUUAGAAGCCCUAGACAGACUGUCAGGGAGAGGUGUUUCUAGGAUCUCAGAUGCCCUCCUGCAGCUGACAUGCAUCAACUGUGUGCGGGCAGUGAUGAACUCUCCGAAAGGCAUUGAAUAUAUCGUGAGCAAUGAAGGUUAUGUCAGGAAACUCUCUCAAGCACUGGACACUUCAAAUAUCAUGGUCAAAAAGCAAGUGUUUGAACUCCUGGCUGCUCUCUGCAUUUAUUCAUUUGAUGGACAUGCUCUGGCUCUGGAUGCUCUAGACCACUACAAGACUGUGAAAAACCAACAGUACCGGUUCAGCAUCAUUAUGAAUGAGCUCUCGGUCACAGACAAUGUGCCCUACAUGAUAACACUCUUGAGUGUCAUCAAUGCAGUUAUAUUGGGAACAGAGGAACUGAGAGGGAGGAUGCAGCUCCGGAAUGAGUUCAUUGGUCUCCAGUUGUUGGAUAUUUUAACCAAACUGCGAGACAUAGAAGAUGAAGACCUGCUUAUCCAGUGUGAGACAUUUGAGGAGGCUAAGACUGAAGAUGAUGAAGAGUUAUUGAGAAUAUGUGAUGGGAUUAAUAUGAACAAUCAUCAAGAGGUUUUCUCUUCUCUGUUCAACAAAGUGAGCAGCUCCCCAGUCUCCAUUCAGCUGCUGUCCAUUCUCCAGAGCCUCUUGCAUCUUGAACCUUCUCAUCGCUCCAGCCUAUUGCUUUGGGAGUCCUUAGAAAUCUUAGUAAGCAGAGCCAUCUUGCUUGCUAAUGACGUACAAGAUAACAGCGUGGAAGAAGUCAUGGAGAGAUUGUUAUCCAUCAAGAAACACCCUAAGAAAAGAAAUUCAUAUUCCACAAGAGCAGCCAACAAGGUGAACGAAAGCACUCAGACCAAUGAAGAUUUGGGGCAAUGCCCAGACACCACCCAGAGCUCUUCCUCAAGAACCUGCUCUUCCAACACCCCACUUAAUGCAGAGCCAUUCAGCGUGCCUAAGAAGUCUGCAUCCUCCCUCUUUCCGCUCUGCUCAGCUUUGCCAGAACUGAAUGCAGCUUCAGCUACUCCUGCUCCAGUGCCUCCCCCUCCCCCUUCCCCUCCCCUCCCUAGAACAUCAGACAUGUUGCCACAACAGCCAUCUCCUCCACCUCUGAUACAAAUGUGCACGUGGUCUCGUGUGGCAGCAGUUCCUCCCCCUCCUUCUCUGCCUGGUAUGACAGGGAUCCCUCCCCCUCCCCCUCUUCUUGGUGCUGCAGGAGUACUACCACCACCACCACUCCAGGGUAUGCCACCUCCUCCUCCCCCACUGCCUGGGAUGGAAGGGCUACCCCCUCCUCCACCACUGCCAGGCAUCCCACCUCCUCCACCUCUAGAAGGCAAUGCAGAGGAAAUUGUGCCGGCAUGGGUUAACCCCCUUAGCUAUGCUAUACCUUCCCCUAAAAGAGUGAAGAUGCCAACACUGAGGAUGAAGAAGCUGAACUGGCAGAAGCUCCCCUCCAAUGUGGUGAGAGAGAGUCACUCCAUGUGGGCAUCAGUAACAAGAGAGAGCGAGGAGUCCAUCAAGCCAGAUUACACUAGAAUAGAACAGUUGUUCUGCUUCCCACAAAGCAAGCCCAAAUCAAAGGAAGUGGCACCAGUGAAGACAGAACCAAAAGAGAUCACAUUUCUAGAUUCCAAAAAGAGUCUUAAUUUGAACAUAUUUUUGAAGCAAUUUAAGUGCACAAAUGAGGAGGUGGUUAGCAUGAUUCAGAAAGGUGACAGAACAAAAUUUGAUGUUGAAGUUCUCAAACAGCUACUUAAACUCCUACCGGAAAAACAUGAAAUAGAAAACUUGAAAUCUUUCAAAGAAGAAAAGGAAAAGUUAGCCAAUGCAGAUCAGUUCUAUCUUCUACUCCUUGGAGUUCCUAGCUACCAAUUGCGGAUUGAAUGUAUGCUGCUGUGUGAAGAGACUGCUGUUCUGCUGGAGAUGUUGCAGCCCAAAGCAGAAACAAUAAGGAGGGCUUGUGAAGAUCUCCGCGCAAGCCGUCGGUUGCCCAUUUUCUGUCAAUUGAUCCUCAAUGUUGGAAACUUCCUGAACUAUGGAAGUCACACAGGAGAUGCUGAUGGCUUUAAAAUUGGUACAUUGCUCAAGUUAACAGAAACCAAAGCAAACCAGACUCGUAUUACACUGCUCCACCACAUCUUAGAGGAAGUGGAAAAAAAUCAUACUGAUUUGCUUCAGCUCCCCAAAGAUCUUGAAUGUGUUUCAAAGGCAGCUGGAAUCAAUCUGGAUGUGAUUCAUUCUGAAUCCAGCUCCAAUAUAAAGAAAUUGGUGGAACUUGAACGGAAGCUGUCGUCCUCAAUUGAAGAAGUGAAAACCCAAUAUGGAACAGCUAUUCAGGAUAGUUUAAGUGCUAACAAAAAGUUGGAGCUUGAGUUUGAACUCAUUGAAGCUAAGAGGAUGGAGCUUGCCAACUACCUCUGCGAAGAUCCAAACAAAUUGUCUUUGGAGGAUAUAUUUAACACCAUGAAAACUUUCCGGGAUCUCUACAUCAAAGCACUAAAGGAAAACAAGGACCGAAAGGAACAAGCAGCCAGAGCUGAGAAAAGGAAGAAACAGUUGGAGGAAGAAGAAGCUAAGAGGCAAAAAGGGGAAAAUGGAAAAAUCAUUAAGAAAGGAGCUGUGAAGCAAGAGGAAGUGUGUGUUAUCGAUGCUUUGCUGGCUGAUAUACGGAAAGGGUUCCAGCUGCGGAAAACAAACAGGAACAAAAACGGCACAGACACUCCCGUGAAAACCACACCUCAGAGAGGCAAAGUGAUUGGUCAAAGUGUUCAGGAUGUGAAAGACCCAAAGCAAGAAGAAGAUGUUUCGAGGGCACAUAAUAAUUUCCAGGAUCAUGUAGAAAAUGCCACACCUUCAGAAGGUGCUACCACAAAGGAGAAAUCUGAGAUGGCUGCUGACUCAAUGGUUUCCCAGAAACCACCUGAUUCCUUUGGAAAUGGUACCUCCUCUCCAGUCCAGCCUGAUUCCAAGAAGGGCUCCUUACAUUCCUUUGUUUUGGAGGGAAAUGGAGUAGCCCCAAAUGGAACAAACUUGCCAGAAGGACAUGACUCCCAUUCCUUUCAAGAUACUAAUGACCAUGAUUUAGUGUUGUCUCAGUCCACUUCUUUUGUAAAGUUUACAAGUGGUGACUCAGGGCAUUCAGCCAGCCUGGAGAUCAAAGCGGGCCCAGUUGACUCAGGGGACCCAGCUGGUAGAACUGAACCUGAUAGCUCAUGGAACGGUUUAAAUUCAAAUGACCAGGUAAAGAGUAUUAACAGAAAAGAUGACACAGGAGAGAAAAUACCUGGAAAUAACAAACAGUUCACAGCCUCUCAAGAAGUGGCCCUUGAAACUUUGGCACUGCCAGAAGCAUCAAAAGAAAAUGAAGACCCAUCCUCAGACUCCUUCUUAGACACUUCUCAGGAGAAGUCCUUCUCAGAAGAACCAGUGACUGAUUCUUCAUAUUCGGCAACAGUACCUUCAGAACAAGCCCAAGCUGAAAAAGAUGGCCAAAGAAGUUCAGCAAAGCGAAAGAAGAAAAAGAGGCACAGCAAGAGCCAUUCAACAGUGGUUGACACUGAUUUAAAAGCGGUGGUUGAUACUGGAGAUAAAAAAACAAAAAGAGGUUGUGAGAUACAGUGAGGUGGCACAGCAAGACAGAAAAAGUAAAAAACAUGCUAUUCAGCGGUGUCAGCUACUGGAAGAAGCCAUGAUAAUAGGGUGGAGCCUAAAUUUUGUCUGGAGAUAUUCGAUAGCGAGUAAUUAAUACUCAAAUAUAUGAUAUAUCCAAACUUAGAAGCACUCAGCCUGUGCCUUAUACAAAAUUCUAAUCGCAAAACAAUUUUCUGCUAUUUUGGAACCAUGGAGUCAACUCCCAUUGGACAAAAUUCUUCUGUAUAAUGUAAAGGAAAUGUGACCUAAGAAGGAGCAGGAACAAGUUGAAGCCAACAGAGUCAUCUUUUGAUUUAACACAGAAAACAUUGAAAGUUUUAUGGCACCAAUCUCAUGUUUAGAUAAUGUAGCGGCUCAGGAGUAUGGUCCACCAGGGCCUGAUUUUGUAAAGAUCUGCAUUUGAGUUAUCAGCACCCUUAAGGUUUUCAUGCUAUACAUUACACCAGGUUCAAGCAAACAAACUGUAUUGCAGAUGAUUGUGAAAAGGUGGGGGAAAAUAUCUGAGAAUAUUUUUCACUCAGCUUCCUCACAUAAAAUCAGAUACAUAUCAUAUUCCUAUUUUUACACAAGAGAAUUAAGAAGACUUGUCACUCGAAGGAUUAGACAAAAGUGAGAUUUGUCUUUCUUAACGAAGGUAUGCAAUUAUUAGUAUGAACACACAUGAAAAACGCUGGUCUACACUCUAUAAACAUUUAUCCCAGCCUCUUUCUCACUAUACACACUGCAGCAUUUCUUUGCAAGAACAAUUCCUCCCAAAGUAGUAAUAUUAUUAAUGCAAUCAAUUUACACUUUUUUUGUGGUGGUGGUAGUAAAUGUGUUUGGGGUUAGGGUUUUGUUUUCUUUUCUUUUCCUUUUCCUUUUUGUUGCCUAUAGCAUUGAUGGAAAUAUUUUAGCAUUAAUAUUGGGAACGUGCUUCCUUUUUAUCAUAAAAAUUGAAGUCGUUUUUUCGUAGUUUAUAAAUACUACUGAGAGAAUUGCAUAUUUGUAAAUAGCUGUCGCUUUUUGUAUAUUCACUUAUAUGAUACUGAAGGUGUAGAAAUUACUUUACAACCUGCAUUUAGCAAUUAUUAUUUGGAAAGAGGAUGUUGACUGGGAGAUAUCCUGCUGAAAUAAAAUGUUGUCUUAUA